rnacentral:rRNA from 1 species
AUUGAACGCUGGCGGCAGGCCUAACACAUGCAAGUCGAGCGGAUGACGGGAGCUUGCUCCUUGAUUCAGCGGCGGACGGGUGAGUAAUGCCUAGGAAUCUGCCUGGUAGUGGGGGACAACGUUUCGAAAGGAACGCUAUUACCGCAUACGUCCUACGGGAGAAAGCAGGGGACCUUCGGGCCUUGCGCUAUCAGAUGAGCCUAGGUCGGAUUAGCUAGUUGGUGGGGUAAUGGCUCACCAAGGCGACGAUCCGUAACUGGUCUGAGAGGAUGAUCAGUCACACUGGAACUGAGACACGGUCCAGACUCCUACGGGAGGCAGCAGUGGGGAAUAUUGGACAAUGGGCGAAAGCCUGAUCCAGCCAUGCCGCGUGUGUGAAGAAGGUCUUCGGAUUGUAAAGCACUUUAAGUUGGGAGGAAGGGCAGUAAGUUAAUACCUUGCUGUUUUGACGUUACCGACAGAAUAAGCACCGGCUAACUCUGUGCCAGCCGCCGCUGUAACAC